GACGAACGCUGGCGGCGUGCUUAACACAUGCAAGUCGAACGAAGAGCGAUGGAAGCUUGCUUCUAUCAAUCUUAGUGGCGAACGGGUGAGUAACGCGUAAUCAACCUGCCCUUCAGAGGGGGACAACAGUUGGAAACGACUGCUAAUACCGCAUACGAUCUAAUCUCGGCAUCGAGGAUAGAUGAAAGGUGGCCUCUACAUGUAAGCUAUCACUGAAGGAGGGGAUUGCGUCUGAUUAGCUAGUUGGAGGGGUAACGGCCCACCAAGGCGAUGAUCAGUAGCCGGUCUGAGAGGAUGAACGGCCACAUUGGGACUGAGACACGGCCCAGACUCCUACGGGAGGCAGCAGUGGGGAAUCUUCCGCAAUGGACGAAAGUCUGACGGAGCAACGCCGCGUGAGUGAUGACGGCCUUCGGGUUGUAAAGCUCUGUUAAUCGGGACGAAAGGCCUUCUUGCGAAUAGUGAGAAGGAUUGACGGUACCGAAAGAGAAAGCCACGGCUAACUACGUG
rnacentral:rRNA from 1 species